CGUCGAUAGAUGGGUGGAUUGGAUGAUUCCUCUCGCGCGGCGCAACCGGCCGGACGCCGCGCGCUUAUAUAUACACCUGUAGAGCCCCUCUCGUUCAACAGCAGCACCACACACCAUCGUAGCCUGUGCCUGCGCCUGCAUUGCCAGUUGCCCACAAGCUACAUUCCACGCAGCUAGCGCAACUGCCCCGUCUCCAGAGCUGCUCAUAUCCUCUGCUUACCAUCAGCAGGACUCCAAUGCGUGGGCAGGAAUAGAAAGAUUGGAACAUCACGAUAUUUCUAUUUAUAUCGAAAGGGUGGUGCGUUGUUGCAGAGGCUGGGUGUAAUUGGUAUCUUCUUGAUAUUAAUAUAUUCCCUUUAUCGAAAAAAAAAUCACGAUAUUUCUAUUUUUCCGAAUCUUGUGUGCUGUCUUUUCGUACCAUUAGAAAGGCGAGCAUCUGAAUCUUUUCACAAGGUUCGACAUAGUGGAUGUGUUUUUUGUAAAGUAUAGUGCAUCGAAAAUUAAUACUCCACAAAAGAAUCUCUUUUUUGUUUGUUUUGAACUCUACUGCAUAAAAAAUGCUAAAAAAUAUAACUUAAACACUAGAGUCCUGUGAAAUUGAACAAACCAACGGGAAAAAAAAUUGAUAUUCUUACAACCCUUUGAAGACUUGUUUAUUUGUAGUGUUUUUAUGGGAAUCGGAGGGAAUUAUCCUUCAUCCUGAAAAAUCACAAAUAGUAUGUCUACUUGUCCGGUUUUUGAUAUGAUAAUCCCGGUAUAUCCCUCCAAAUUCACACAUUUUUGCAGAGAUUAAAAGCUCUUCAUCAUAUUAGUGUAUGUUUUGGAAGAAUAUUUAAUUGAGUGAGAGGGGAUUCGGUUAACACCAAAUUCCAUCCCUUUACUGAACUCCUUGGUGGUGGAAAUACGAGAUAAGUAAACAAGACCGAGAUUCCGCAAAACAUGAUGCUUCUUCGUACUGCAUCGCAGAGGUACACAUAACCCUCAAAGCACCGAAACCUUAGUGAAUAUCUCAAUAUUUUGUUUUUUCCCUUAAUGUUAGAAAAAACUUAUCAGUGGAGGUACUCCCUAAGGUUGCGGUGGUAUUGAGAUGUUACUCACACUUGAGCAGGGUUGACCUCUAGCCUUCGAUAUAGUAUGUAUAUAUACCUCGGAUUAAAGUUCUAUAUUCAAAAAGAUGUAUGGAAUGCCUACUAGCUGCCCUUGAUAGUUAUGUAAUUUAGUUUGAUACUAAUUUUCCGUUCUCAUUAGCAUAAUGUUUUAUCUGAUAUAUAGUUCUUUCAAUCAAAGAUGCAACAACUAUAUACUUGCUCUAGAUCUUCCCAUUCUAAGCUACAUACUUCUUUUCAGUUGAAGAUGGACACAUAAGCCCUAAAGCACCUAGCCUUACCGAAUAUCUCCACUAGUAAGUUUUUUCUCAUAUUAGAAAUACUUAUCAGUGGAGGUAUUCUCUAAGGUUGCGGUGGUGUUGGAUUUUUAUACUGACACUUUGGACAUAUUGGUGGCCUUGAAUCAACCUCAGAGAAAAGUUAAUCAAUAGAAGAAAAAAAGAUGAAUGCAAUAUGUAAUAGGUUCACCUUUUCAUCCGUAAUUAUGUCUGGAUUGAUGGAGUUUAUGUGGUUGUUAAUAUUUCCUAAUCCUUUAGAUUUUUUUUCUGAUAAUACUCCCUCCAUUCCUAUAUAUAAGCCAUAUAGUUUUUUGACAAAAAUUUCAGAAUAUAGGGUUUAUUGCGUUGCCCUACUUGUAUGGACAAUAUUUUGGGAGAUUUGAUUAGGUUUACUUAUCUUAUGCAAAGUCCUCUGUUAUCUCACGGCAAUUACUUACGGUUAAUCCUAGCCAAACAUGGUGUAAUUUUUUCUAAAUAUGCGUUUCUUAAUUUCCGUGCCAGAAAUUAUAUGGCUUAUAUUUAGGACCGGAGGGAGUAGUAGAUUUCAAUGCUUCAAUUUAAUGAUCACAAAAUGCUAGCAAUAAAGUGAUCCGCUUUAAAAAUGAGACAUAUUUACAAAUUUGGAGGGAAUAUCACUAGAUCAAGAUCUCACAAACAUUGUUUCACUCCAAGGUUAGUUCAUAUGUGUACCCGCAAAAACAAGUUUGUUCAUAUGUGAACAAUGGUGUAUGUUGUAAUAAAUGUAGUUCUAUCUAGCCAAACUUAUAUUCGAAAAUACUUUCCUUGGUAUGCGCAUGAUCCGUGAAGAACAUAGAUGCAUGAAGCUAUCCUUGGGGGGUCCAGGUCCAGAACAAUGGUGGAUGCCUACAAAGGAUACCUCCUCUCCCGGUUCAUAGAGCUUGCGCGUAUCCCUAGAUGAUGGAGAGAUGAGUUCCGGAAAGCUCCGCUGGCGAAUGGAACAGUGCAUCUUUUGCCUGGAGUUUGCUGGAUCGGGUGGUAUUCGGUCGUGCGCACCCAUGUUUUUAUUCCGAUCGUUUGGUUCCGGAGGGAGCGGCGCGAAGCUCUAUUCUGUGUUGACAUCUGGUGAAUUUUUGGUCCAUGGUGAAGUCAGAAGAAGGAAUAUCAUGAAGGCCGGAUUGGUGGACUGGCUAAUGGAGGUUUGAGUCUCCGUGAUGAUGAGGGAUCUGCAGCAGUGGUAUGCAUGUGGGGGCGGCAGCACAGGGGAAGUUCAGAGUCUUACCUCUCAGGGUGAAAACCCAAGAUCUGGCCUUAACUGGUUGCGUCUGGCAAUGAUCUUGUUGGAGGCAUUGUUUCGAGAGUGGGGUCUAUCUUCAGGGUUAAAACAUAAGACCUUUGGUCGGGCGACGACGGCGCUGGUGCACUGUUCCCUUCUUGGAGACGUCUCUUUUGGAGAGUCUGUACUUCAGGUGUUGUCACGGUGGUGGUUGUAUUGUUGUUGCUAGGUCUAGAAGGCUGUAGCGGGACUUUUAUUUCUUAGUUUUCUUUACUAUUUUUUGGCUAUGUGCAUCCGUACUGCCACUAGGGUGGAGCGUUGUUGCAGAGGCUAGGUGUAAUUGGUAUCUUCUGAUAUUAAUAUAUUCCCUUUAUCAAAAAACAGUCACGGAUGGAGAUAUUAGCAGCUACAUGUAGUGCAUCACAGGAGGAUAACCGGACAUUUUUU